GUGAAUAAGUAAGAUAAAAGACGACCAAAGACAAAAAAAAGGAAGAAAAAAAUACCUUAUUUGAACUAAAACCAAAUACAAAUCACAAGAAAUGAGAAAAGAGUUUCGAGAAAAAUAGAAAUAAAAAUGAAAGACAAAUAAUAAAAGGGCAUAAAAAAAUAUCUAAAAAAGAGAAGAAGACUGACCAAUUAACAUUUCUUUAAAC
rnacentral:lncRNA from 1 species